rnacentral:tRNA from 1 species
GGAUUGUGGCUCAAUGGUAGAGUGCUCUCCUAGCAUGCAUGAGGCCCUGGGUUUGAACCUCAGCACCA